GGAAAGAAAGAAGGGCGUAUGGGGAAUGCCUAGGCUCUUGAAGGCGAUGAAGGACGUGAUAAGCUGCGAAAAGCUUUGGGGAGAUGCACGUAAUUGUAGAUCCAAAGAUAUCCGAAUGGGGCAACCCACUUGACUGAAGGUCAAGUACUCGAAAGAGGGCGAACUCGGUGAACUGAAACAUCUAAGUAACCGAAGGAAAAGAAAACAAUAGUGAUUCUGUGAGUAGUGGCGAGCGAAAACAGAGAAGCCCAAACCAAUAUUGUUACGGCAAUAUUGGGGUUAUAGGACUACGACAAGAAUAAUAAAUUAAAUUAGAAUCUGGUGGGAAACAGAGCCAUAGAGAGUGAUAGCCUCUUAUAAGUAAGGUUUAUUAUUUGAGUAGGAUCCUGAGUAGGGGGGAACAGGAGAAAUUCCCCUUGAAUUUGCCAGCACCAUCUGGUAAGGCUAAAUACUUACAAGAGACCGAUAGUGAACUAGUACUGUGAAGGAAAGGUGAAAAGAACCUCAGAUAGAGGAGUGAAAAGACCCUGAAACCAUACGCUUACAAGCGGACGGAGCGGAGCGAUUCCGUGACGUCGUGCCUUUUGCAUAAUGAGCCUACGAGUUACGUUUCACUGGCAAGAUUAACCGUUUAAGACGGGCAGUCGGAGCGAAAGCGAGUCUGAAUAGGGCGCUUAGUCAGUGGAAGUAGACGCGAAACUUUGUGAUCUACCCUUGGUCAGGAUGAAGUGUGGGUAAAGCCACAUGGAGGUCCGAACUAGUAAACGUUGAAAAGUUUUUGGAUGAACUGAGGGUAGGGGUGAAAGGCUAAUCAAACUGAGAAAUAGCUCGUACUCCAAUAGGACUAGGGGGCUUCACCGCCUACCAAAUCCUGAUGAACUCCGAAUGCUAUCAUAUAGGUCAGGGAGUGAGGGUAUGGGUGCUAAGGUCCAUAUCCGAGAGGGAAAGAACCCAGACCAACCGCUAAGGUCCCUAAAUAUAUACUAAGUUGAACAAAGGUAGUUCAGCUACAGAGACAGCCAGGAUGUUGGCUUGGAAGCAGCCAUACAUUUAAAGAGUGCGUAACAGCUCACUGGUCGAGUGGCAGAGCAUCUAUGAUAAACGGGCAUCAAGUGUAUUACCGAAGCGAUGGGAUUAAUAAUCGGUAGGGGAGCAUUCUAAUAGCGGUGAAUCAGUACUGUAAGGUAUUGUGGAGCGAUUAGAAAAGCAAAUGUAGGCAUAAGUAACGAUAAUGCGGGUGAAAAACCUGCACACCGAAAGACUAAGGUUUCCCACUUCAACGCUAAUCGGAAGGGGGUUAGUCGGGGGCUAAGGCGUAUCCGAAAGGAAAAGUCGAUGCAUAACAGGUUAAUAUUCCUGUACUAGCGUAUCAAUAAAAGUGACGGAGUAUAUAAUCAUCUGCGUAUGAACGGUAUUUACGUUGAAGCCGUAAGGCAAAAGUACUCUAAAUCCUCGGAGGCGGAGAUAAAGAUGAAAAAAGCUUCCAAGAAAAGCGAAGAUACGCUACUCGUACCGUAAACCGACACAGGUAGUCGAGGAGAGAAUCCUAAGGUGCUCGAGUGAAUCAUGGCUAAGGAACUAGGCAAAAUUACCCUGUAACUUCGGGAGAAGGGGUACCUACUUAGCAAUAAGAGGUCGCAGUGAAAAGGCCCAGGCGACUGUUUAACAAAAACACAUGUCUUUGCGAAAUCGAAAGAUGAAGUAUAAGGACUGACACCUGCCCGGUGCUGGAAGGUUAAGGGGGGAUGUUAGGAGCAAUCCGAAGCAUUGAACUGAAGCCCCAGUAAACGGCGGCCGUAACUAUAACGGUCCUAAGGUAGCGAAAUUCCUUGUCGGGUAAGUUCCGACCU
rnacentral:rRNA from 1 species